rnacentral:rRNA from 1 species
AACUCUUAGCGGUGGAUCACUCGGCUCGUGCGUCGAUGAAGAACGCAGCUAGCUGCGAGAACUAAUGUGAAUUGCAGGACACAUUGAUCAUCGACACUUCGAACGCACUUGCGGCCCGGGGUUUCCGGGGCUACGCCUGUCUGAGGGUCG